rnacentral:rRNA from 1 species
UACGUAGGCAGCAAGCGUUGUUCGGAGUUACUGGGCGUAAAGGGCGCGUAGGCGGCGCGGAUAGUCGGCGGUGAAAGCCCGGAGCUCAACUCCGGGUCGGCCGUCGAUACUUCCGGGCUUGGAGCACUGUAGAGGCAGAUGGGAAUUCCGGGUGUAGCGGUGGAAUGCGUAGAGAUCCGGAAGAACACCGGGUGGCGAAGGGCGGGUU